CCCCUCAUGGAUCUCACAGUUAUCUUCCUCCCUGAUGAGGAAUUCUUAAUUAAAGCAUGGACAAUUUGUGACAGAAUGGCAUUUUCCAAAGAUUUUCUUUCCUGCUUGCACAAAUGUGUCACUCUCCAGAGGCCAGGCUGGUCAUGUGUUAAUUUAAAAUGAAGGUUUUAUUGCUCCACCUUGCUCUAGGUGCUGCUCAUCUUUCUAGGCAGCACUGGAAGAAACUCCCUUUUACAGGCUGAUAACAGAUUUGGCUGCAGGUUAUUCCAGCCAGGCCUCUGUCCUGUUCUAAUUCAACCUUAUGUUGGCAUUGGUGCCUUAUUUUUCAGCAAAACUGAAGCCGUGUCAGAGUGGCAUCUUUGUCCCCCUGCUGUCCCCAAGGAGAGUAAUUGAGUUCUCCUGUCCCACCAACCCUGGAGGCCGCAGCAGACCCCAGUGCCUCUGGAAGGUCUUUCUGCUUCCUCCCCUGUUCUGUUCCAUGGGCUGUGGCACUCACAGGGACCCUGCCCUGUCCCCAAAGACAGCGAGGCCACAUCAGGGGGCGGGGGAGCUGUGCUGCCUGCAGGGCUCAGCAGUGCUGGCCCUGCCCCUGUCACACGGGGGAUGAUCUGGGUGGCCUGGUUUAACCCCAGCCCCACACAGCCACUGGCUCACUGCCUUCCCGGGGCAGGGAGAGAACUCGUGGGUUGAGAUAAAGACAGUUUAAUGCAUCAGUGAGGAAGAAACUAAUCAUCAUUAUGAUUAUAAAAAAGAAUUACAAUGUACAAAGCAAGGGAUGCACAAUGCAGUUGUCCAGCCCAUGGAUGGCUUUCCCUCAGUUUAUUUGAUAAGCAUGACUCCAGAUGGUCUGGAAUAUCCUUGGGUCAGUUGGGGUCAGCUGUCCUGACUGUGACCCCUCCCAGCUCCUUGUGCCCCAAAUCUCCUCACUGGCAGGGCAUGAGAAGCUGAGAAGUCUGAGCACAGACACUGCUUAGCCAUGACUGCAAACAAGUGCGUUAUCAACAUUAUCCUCACACUGACCCCAAAACACAACACCUGGAGUUGGUGCUACUGGGAAGAAAAUUAACUCUCUCCCAGCCAAAACCAGGCCAGGGAACUCUUAGUCAUGUCUCUUAUGUUCAGAAUAUAUGACUAUUAAAAGUUAUGAAUAAGCUUUUAAGGCAGCUAAAGAUGCAGAUCAGCCUGACAAGGCUGAAAAAUCACUGAUGCAAUUAAAGCAGUGUCACUGGGGUGUUCAUCCCACUCAGGGUUUUCACAGCUCCCUGGAGAAUAUCUCCAUGGUUAUGGUCACUCCCAUCCUUUGGGACACCUCUGCUUUAGAAUGUGGACCAGCAUUGCCUGGUGAAUUGUCUGGAGCACAGGACAGAGCCAGCCUGGGGUGACAACCUGAAAAAAGCUUUUAAAAUCACAAGAUUUAACGGCAGAUGGUGAAAGGGAGCAGCAGAGAGCAGGGUCAAACUCCAGAUUUGAUACCCUAGGCUCAAGAAGCCCAAAAUCUGAACACAGAUGCUGAGCUUAAUUUCCAGGGAUCUAAAAUCCUCCUG
rnacentral:lncRNA from 1 species